rnacentral:tRNA from 1 species
AUUUUUGUAGUUGAAAAACAACAAUGGUUUUUCAUGCCAUAGGUAUGGUUAAAAUCCAUAUUAAAAUA